rnacentral:rRNA from 1 species
AGAGUUUGAUCCUGGCUCAGAUUGAACGCUGGCGGCAGGCCUAACACAUGCAAGUCGAACGGUAACAGGAAACAGCUUGCUGUUUCGCUGACGAGUGGCGGACGGGUGAGUAAUGUCUGGGAAACUGCCUGAUGGAGGGGGAUAACUACUGGAAACGGUAGCUAAUACCGCAUAAUGUCGCAAGACCAAAGAGGGGGACCUUCGGGCCUCUUGCCAUCGGAUGUGCCCAGAUGGGAUUAGCUAGUAGGUGGGGUAACGGCUCACCUAGGCGACGAUCCCUAGCUGGUCUGAGAGGAUGACCAGCCACACUGGAACUGAGACACGGUCCAGACUCCUACGGGAGGCAGCAGUGGGGAAUAUUGCACAAUGGGCGCAAGCCUGAUGCAGCCAUGCCGCGUGUAUGAAGAAGGCCUUCGGGUUGUAAAGUACUUUCAGCGGGGAGGAAGGGAGUAAAGUUAAUACCUUUACUCAUUGACGUUACCCGCAGAAGAAGCACCGGCUAACUCCGUGCCAGCAGCCGCGGUAAUACAGAGGGUGCAAGCGUUAAUCGGAUUUACUGGGCGUAAAGCGUGCGUAGGUGGCCAAUUUAGUCAAGAGUGAAAUCCCCGAGCUUAACUUGGGAACUGCAUCUGAUACUGGCAAGCUUGAGUCUCGUAGAGGGGGGUGGAAUUCCAGGUGUAGCGGUGAAAUGCGUAGAGAUCUGGAGGAAUACCGGUGGCGAAGGCGGCCCCCUGGACGAAGACUGACGCUCAGGUGCGAAAGCGUGGGGAGCAAACAGGAUUAGAUACCCUGGUAGUCCACGCCGUAAACGAUGUCGACUUGGAGGUUGUGCCCUUGAGGCGUGGCUUCCGGAGCUAACGCGUUAAGUCGACCGCCUGGGGAGUACGGCCGCAAGGUUAAAACUCAAAUGAAUUGACGGGGGCCCGCACAAGCGGUGGAGCAUGUGGUUUAAUUCGAUGCAACGCGAAGAACCUUACCUACUCUUGACAUCCAGAGAACUUAGCAGAGAUGCUUUGGUGCCUUCGGGAACUCUGAGACAGGUGCUGCAUGGCUGUCGUCAGCUCGUGUUGUGAAAUGUUGGGUUAAGUCCCGCAACGAGCGCAACCCUUAUCCUUUGUUGCCAGCGGUUAGGCCGGGAACUCAAAGGAGACUGCCAGUGAUAAACUGGAGGAAGGUGGGGAUGACGUCAAGUCAUCAUGGCCCUUACGAGUAGGGCUACACACGUGCUACAAUGGCAUAUACAAAGAGAAGCGACCUCGCGAGAGCAAGCGGACCUCAUAAAGUAUGUCGUAGUCCGGAUUGGAGUCUGCAACUCGACUCCAUGAAGUCGGAAUCGCUAGUAAUCGUGGAUCAGAAUGCCACGGUGAAUACGUUCCCGGGCCUUGCACACACCGCCCGUCA